rnacentral:rRNA from 1 species
UGGGGAAUCUUGCGCAAUGGGCGAAAGCCUGACGCAGCGACGCCGCGUGAGGGAAGAAGGCCUUCGGGUUGUAAACCUCUUUCAGGAGGGACGAAGCCACUCGGGUUAAUAGCCCAGAGGGUGACGGUACCUCCAGAAGAAGCCCCGGCUAACUACGUGCCAGCAGCCGCGGUAAUACGUAGGGGGCAAGCGUUGUCCGGAUUUAUUGGGCGUAAAGAGCGUGUAGGCGGCCAGGUAGGUCCGUUGUGAAAACUCGAGGCUCAACCUCGAGACGUCGAUGGAAACCAUCUGGCUAGAGUCCGGAAGAGGAGAGUGGAAUUCCUGGUGUAGCGGUGAAAUGCGCAGAUAUCAGGAAGAACACCCGUGGCGAAGGCGGCUCUCUGGGACGGUACUGACGCUGAGACGCGAAAGCGUGGGGAGCGAACAG